CCACGAGGCGCUGUCUAC
rnacentral:siRNA from 1 species